rnacentral:misc_RNA from 1 species
GAUGAAGAACGCAGCGAAAUGCGAUAAGUAAUGUGAAUUGCAGAAUUCAGUGAAUCAUCGAAUCUUUGAACGCACAUUGCGCCCGCCAGCAUUCUGGCGGGCAUGCCUGUUCGAGCGUCAUUUCAACCCUCGAGCCCCCCCGGGGGCCUCGGUGUUGGGGGACGGCACACCAGCCGCCCCCGAAAUGCAGUGGCGACCCCGCCGCAGCCUCCCCUGCGUAGUAGCACACACCUCGCACCGGAGCGCGGAGGCGGUCACGCCGUAAAACGCCCAACUUUCUAGAGUUGACCUCGGAUCAGGUAGGAAUACCCGCUGAACUUAAGCAUAUCAAUAAGCGGAGGA